rnacentral:rRNA from 1 species
GGAUGAGCCCGCGGCCUAUCAGCUUGUUGGUGAGGUAACGGCUCACCAAGGCUUCGACGGGUAGCCGGCCUGAGAGGGCGACCGGCCACACUGGGACUGAGAUACGGCCCAGACUCCUACGGGAGGCAGCAGUGGGGAAUAUUGCACAAUGGGCGCAAGCCUGAUGCAGCAACGCCGCGUGCGGGAUGACGGCCUUCGGGUUGUAAACCGCUUUCAGCUCCGACGAAGCGCAAGUGACGGUAGGAGCAGAAGAAGGACCGGCCAACUACGUGCCAGCAGCCGCGGUGAUACGUAGGGUCCGAGCGUUGUCCGGAAUUAUUGGGCGUAAAGGGCUUGUAGGCGGUUUGUCACGUCGGAAGUGAAAUCUCAGAGCUUAACUCUGAGCCUGCUUCCGAUACGGGCAAACUAGAGGGAUGCAGGGGAGAACGGAAUUCCUGGUGGAGCGGUGGAAUGCGCAGAUAUCAGGAGGAACACCGGUGGCGAAGGCGGUUCUCUGGGCAUUUCCUGACGCUGAGAAGCGAAAGCGUGGGGAGCAAACAGGCUUAGAUACCCUGGUAGUCCACGCCGUAAACGGUGGGCACUAGGUGUGGGGAACAUUCCACGUUCUCCGUGCCGAAGCUAACGCAUUAAGUGCCCCGCCUGGGGAGUACGGCCGCAAGGCUAAAACUCAAAGGAAUUGACGGGGGCCCGCACAAGCGGCGGAGCAUGUGGAUUAAUUCGAUGCAACGCGAAGAACCUUAC